rnacentral:lncRNA from 1 species
AUCAAUGUUGAUGGGACAUGUGAGUGUAGCAGCAGAAGGUUUGUUAGAGCUUGCCAUGGAGAGAACAGAAGAUUUUUAUGUUGUGGAGUAGAAGAGUUUUCACAAAAAAGUAGAAAAACAAGUGAAUGUUGAAACAAGAGAACGAAAAAAGAGAAAAAGAAGAAAGAAUGAGGGUUUUAUAGAGCUUAAAUCCUGAGCA